GACGAACGUUGGCGGCGUGCUUAACACAUGCAAGUCGAACGGUAAGGCCCUUCGGGGUACACGAGUGGCGAACGGGUGAGUAACACGUGGGUGAUCUGCCCUGCACUUCGGGAUAAGCCUGGGAAACUGGGUCUAAUACCGGAUAGGACCACUGCCUGCAUGGGUGGUGGUGGGAAGCUUUUGCGGUGUGGGAUGGGCCCGCGGGCUAUCAGCUUGUUGGUGGGGUGAUGGCCUACCACGGAGACGACGGGUAGCCGGCCUGAGAGGGUGACCGGCCACACUGGGACUGAGAUACGGCCCAGACUCCUACGGGAGGCAGCAGUGGGGAAUAUUGCACAAUGGGCGCAGGCCUGAUGCAGCGACGCCGCGUGAGGGAUGACGGCCUUCGGGUUGUAAACCUCUUUCAGCACCGACGAAGCGCAAGUGACGGUAGGUGCAGAAGAAGGACCGGCCAACUACGUGCCAGCCGCCGCCGUAA
rnacentral:rRNA from 1 species